GAUGGAUUCAAUAUAAAAUAUAUUAAUUCAUUUAAAGGUCGAGGAGUGUUCAGUUGCCGCCACUUUCAGAAGGGAGACUUUCUUAUUGAAUAUCGAUUGGAAAUCAAACAGGAACAUGAAAACAGGCUAAGACUGUACCACGAUGCCCUGAAGGUUUUCAUGUUUGAAUUUCUCUACAAUGGGGAAAAAACUAUGUAUUGAUGCAGCCAGAGAGGACGACUCUCUAGGGAGACUCGUCAACGAUGAUCAUGACAUCAGGCCAGGGGAAGAGAUAACCUACAACUAUGGAGAUUCGGACUGGCCAUGGAGAUUAAAGGUUUCAACUGAAGCACAUCCUCACCAUGCAGCCUGGGCAUCUGACUGCACCAAAGAUGUUAAACAGGUG